AAAAAAAAAAAAAAAAAAGUCAAAUUGCCGAAAUCUACAAUCUGCAUAUAAUAUCCCACUUAUGAGUUUUACAGUGUCCAUGCUGUGUGCCUGUGUGUUCAAACUCGGCCUAUUAAUCGAGUAUUAAUUACACUAUUGUAAUGUUCUCAUAGCCACCUCCUGUUGCUAUUGCAGUGAGCUCCAGUGUUGCGGGUAUCCACUUAAAACGCCAGGUGACGCCCAUCGUCUCCACAGGAGGAGUUCGUCUUGCCGGGAAAUCAUGUUUCACAGUGAAAGUGAUCUCAUGAUGCAGCAGGAGUUGCAAGACAGUACAACUACAGAGAUACAAAAAGCUUCAGAGAAAUCUCAAGAAGUCUGUGUAUCUUUUUUCCUCUGGCUCUACAUUUUCUUCACUUCUGCUAUCCCUGUGGACCUGCCAGCCAGCACACUGAAACUGUUCUCAGAAAACAAAGGAAUCAUCGACUUCCUGGGUUUAUGGUGGUGAUUUAAGGCCAAGAGACAGACUCCAGGCUCAUCUAGUAACACUCAGGCUACUCCAGUUCAAAGGCAGCCACAUGACAGAAACUUGUCCUUAGAAUACAGCCACCAUAUAUCCUGAGGAAGCCCAAGCCACAUGGUGAAUCCUUAUGUAGCUGUUCCAGCUCACAGUCCCAGCUAAAGUCUCAGCCAAAAGCCAGCUUCAGUUGCCACAAAUGUUUUGUACAGAGAAUGUUGAAAUUCCUCAUCUUCCUCAAGAUUUUGAAGUUGCAAAAUAUAACACCUUGGAGAAAGUGGGAAUGGAGGGAGGCCAGGAAGCUGUGGUUGUGGAGCUGCAGUGUUCGCGGGACUCCAGGGACUGCCCUUUCCUGAUAUCCUCACACUUCCUUCUGGCUGAUGGCAUGCAGCAAGCCCACGUCUGUGUAGAGCACCCCUUGGGUGAGCCUGGUUUGCCGAGCAGAGAAGCCUGUCCACCUUAUAGCAGUGAGCCUUAGCCCGUGGUUCUGCUGAAGACUUUCCAGCUUGCCCUUCUGCUUAAUAAAACCAUUUUGAUGGGAAUCUUCCAAAAUGACGUUAAACUCUACCUUCUUAAACAGAGUGACUUCAACAGGUGUCCGCUGAGAUCUAUACUAAUUAAGAGUCUCCUGACAUGGAAGGUAGAAUCCAGAGGGCAAUAAGCUUUCUCCAGGAAGACAGGAAGAGCCACGUCAAGCCCCAGGAGUGGCAGCUGCAGUUCAGCCCUCCAGGGCUACCUGAGCAAGCCUGUGGCCCGCCACCCCACCCGCUACGUACAAAAGCAGUUGCACAACUAAAGUGGGCUUCUUCCUAGGGAAAGAUCCUGCUGCUGUGAAGAGUUAGAUUUUCUUCAUUUCAUUUCACUAAUCAUGAUUUCUUUCUAUGACUUUUUUCUAGUUAUAAAACUCAUGUUCUUUGAUAAAAGCUUAGAAAAUAUCUAAAAAUAUGAAGAAAAUUAAAAAUCACUCAGAAUCUCACCACCCAGAGUCAACCCAGAGAUACUAGAACCACUGUUAACGUUUGGGUGUAGAACAUAACCCAGCCUGAAUCACCCCGAUGCAGCUCACCCUGGGGAGGGGGGGUGCUGGUAAGCCAGCUCCGUGAAGGAAAAGCCCCGGUCUGGAAUAUCUGCUGAGUUCUGGGAAGCAAAUACUCCCACCAUAGCUAAUGUCAAGGUACUGACCUGAGGCCACUGGACGUGGGGUUGGGGAGAUGUGCCCUUCCUCCCACCACAGCUGCCCUCAGCCGUACCCCAGUCUCCCCCACAACUGCCCCAUCUUAGCUACCCACUCAGAGCCAGUGUGGGGUCUCUCUCUCCCUCCGCCCCACAUACCCGUGUUCUGUCAAUUCUGCCUUCCAAGUGUCCUUCAUCCGUGGGCUCACUUCCGGUCACCCCGCCGCCGUCUUUACUCCGGGUCACGUUAUCCCGUCUACAACGUCCUUCCGGAUGUUCUCUCCACUCCUGCUCCAUCCACCCCGUAACAGCCAGUGAGGGCUUGGAAUAGGCAUUUUAUGGCGCCACAUUCCAACACGUCACCUCCCAAGAGAGGCCUUUCUUGACAGCCCUCUCUCCAAACCUGGUUGGUUUCCUAAACAGCACUUAAAAAUAAGGUCUUUGCUAACUUUUUUUUUUUCUUUUUUUGAGACGGAGUCCUGCUCUGUCGCCAGGCUGGAGUGCAAUGGCGCGAUUUUGGCUCACUGCAACCUCCGC